UACAGAGGGGGCAAGCGUUGUCCGGAAUUAUUGGGCGUAAAGAGCGUGUAGGCGGCCAGAUAAGUCCGCUGUGAAAUCUCGAGGCUCAACUUCGAGCUGUCGGUGGAAACUAUCUGGCUAGAGUCCGGAAGAGGAGAAUGGAAUUCCUGGUGUAGCGGUGAAAUGCGCAGAUAUCAGGAGGAACACCAGCGGCGAAGGCGGCGCUCUGGGCCGGUACUGACGCUGAGGAGCGAAAGCGUGGGGAGCAAACAGG
rnacentral:rRNA from 1 species